CCUACGGGAGGCAGCAGUGGGGAAUAUUGCACAAUGGGGGAAACCCUGAUCCAGCGACGCCGCGUGAGUGAAGAAGUAUUUCGGUAUGUUAAGCCCUAUCAGCAGGGAAGAAAAUGACGGUACCUGACUCAGAAGCCCCGGCUAACUACGUGCCAGCAGCCGCGGUAACACGUAGGGGGCCAGCGUUAUCCGGAGUUACUGGGUGUAAAGGGAGCGUAGACGGCCAGACAAGUCAGAAGGGAAAGCCCAGGGCACAACCCUGGGACUGCUGUUGAAACUGCCGGGCUGGAGUGCAGGAGAGGUAAGCGGAAUGCGUAGUGUAGCGGUGAAAUGCGUAGAUAUUACGCAGAACACCAGUUGCGAAGGCGGCUUACUGGACUGUAACUGACGUUGAGGCUCGAAAGCGUGGGGAGCAAACAGGAUUAGAUACCCCAGUAGUC
rnacentral:rRNA from 1 species